UGGGGAAUAUUGGACAAUGGGCGAAAGCCUGAUCCAGCCAUGCCGCGUGUGUGAAGAAGGUCUUCGGAUUGUAAAGCACUUUAAGUUGGGAGGAAGGGCAUUAACCUAAUACGUUAGUGUUUUGACGUUACCGACAGAAUAAGCACCGGCUAACUCUGUGCCAGCAGCCGCGGUAAUACAGAGGGUGCAAGCGUUAAUCGGAAUUACUGGGCGUAAAGCGCGCGUAGGUGGUUUGUUAAGUUGGAUGUGAAAGCCCCGGGCUCAACCUGGGAACUGCAUCCAAAACUGGCAAGCUAGAGUACGGUAGAGGGUGGUGGAAUUUCCUGUGUAGCGGUGAAAUGCGUAGAUAUAGGAAGGAACACCAGUGGCGAAGGCGACCACCUGGACUGAUACUGACACUGAGGUGCGAAAGCGUGGGGAGCAAACAGG
rnacentral:rRNA from 1 species